CGCGGCUGCUGGCCUACGGGGGGCAGCAGUCGAGAAUAUUGGACAAUGGGCGAAAGCCUGAUCCAGCCAUGCCGCGUGUGUGAAGAAGGUCUUCGGAUUGUAAAGCACUUUAAGUUGGGAGGAAGGGCAGUAAAUUAAUACUUUGCUGUUUUGACGUUACCGACAGAAUAAGCACCGGCUAACUCUGUGCCAGCAGCCGCGGUAAUA
rnacentral:rRNA from 1 species